GGGUUCUACCAGGUUCUGCUGGGUUCUACCAGGUUCUGCUGGGUUCUACCAGGUUCUGCCGGGUUCUACCAGGUCCUGCCGGGUUCUACCAGGUUCUGCUGGGUUCUGUCGGGUUCUACCAGGUUCUGCCGGGUUCUGCCGGGUUCUGCCAGGUUCUACCAGGUUCUGCCGGGUUCUGGGCCGUGACCCGGCCCGGUUCCACUCACACUAGCUCUCAGACUGCGGAGGUUGUCUCUGUUCUCUCUGCAGAUAUUUUUAGCUGGUUGCGUCAUUCGGCCUCCAGCGCUGAGGUUAGCGCCGCCGCCGCUGCUGCGCCUGAAGCUUCAUGAAGCUUCGCCCGCUCCAGGCUCCGCCCACAUCACCUGCAGCAGGUGCAGGUGAUGCAGCUGCACCUGCUGCAGAGGCGCCGCCGCGUUUCGCUCUGCGGCCGACUCAGAACCGUCCCGUUUGGGCCGCUGCUCCUCCUUACAGGCCGAGGCGAAGUGAGACUCUCAGAUUCCCACCAGCAGCAGCAGGUCAGAGUUUCUCAGCGCCUGUCUGAGCGCGACAGACCAAAAUAACCCGACGUUUUCACACCUCCUCUAGGUUGCAUGCCAUCACAGAAGAGGAAGGAAGGAGCCGGACGAGCCAGAGCCUCAGCAGCAGCAUCCUUAUCAGCAGCGUUAUCGUCCGGUUCUACACGCGAGGCUGCAGCAGGAGACGUGUCACUGCGGCGCAUUUCAUCUGACUUCUCUGUUUCACGGCUUCCAGCCAUCAUGGUGGCUCUGAGAGCAGAGGUCCAAACAGCAGCUGGCCUUUUCGCUGCAGCCGCUGCUUCCCCUGAGAACAAAACAACUUUUUUCCUCUUCAUUUAAACGCGUCGUGAAAACAUCACAGUUAUUUAUCAGCAGCAGCAGCAGCAAAUCUGGGAGCCGCUGAGAUUCUGACACUCAGAGCUGUGAAGCUUCGUGGCAGCAGAACGCUGCAGCCGGCCGCCACUUCCUGCUUCUGCUUUUACCAGGCACCGCAGGUAAAGUCCAGCUCGGCCCGUCAGAACCAACACCAAAUACACUCCACACUUUUCAGACAGAUUUCUAAACAAUAUCACGGGAAUCAUUUUCCCUUUUCAUCGUUCUGGAGGAAAACGGCAACUUUCAGGGUGGAAGCAGGUCUGCAUGCUGUUGCACCGAUGCUAACAGGAUUCCACGCGCCGCCGAGCAAUAACAGAUCAAUACCGCAGCUCUGAUUGAUUACCGCAGCUCGAGCUGCGGCGGAGCAGACGUGAACUCUCCUCAUGAACGCUGUCAGAUCUGGAUUAGACGAUGUAAACGCUUCAAACCUGGUUUCACGUCUGAAUCGUUUCGUCUCCAUGACGACAGCGGCGCGUCGGCCGCAGGAAGUGGCUGAAAACAUUUUACACAAUGAGGAUUAUGUUCUGCUCUGCUCCAUCUGCUGCUGCGGUGAAUCGUCAUGGUAACGGUGAGGCUGCAGUCAGAUGACUCUCUGCUGUAAUCUGUCAUGUAAUCUCAUCUGAAUCACCUGGCCGUUCUCGGCCAAUCGGAGCCCGGCUGGGCCUGGUACCGUCCGUCUACCUGCAGCUUGGCCUGGCCCACUUUCGGCUCUGCAGACGGUCAGCCAAUCAGAGGCCGUGUUGCUGUUGGGUGACCGCCCAGAGGAAAGCCUCAGACGGAUCUUCACCUUGUUGCCUCCAGGUGUGUUGGGGCAACGCCGCGGUGGACGGCAACCAGCAACCACCUGAGAGGAGCAACGCUGCUGCCCAUCAAGAGGUCAAAAGGUCGUCGUUAACCAGUUCAGGGCCGUCGUUCUGCACAGAGAAACGCUGCUCUCCAGUCGUCCGCUGGUUUAGUUGUUGAGCUAAACAUGUAGCAUGCUAACUAUGCUAACUAAGUGUUCAGCUCAAAGCUCAGUUUUUAUCUAAUUCUGAGUUAGAUAUUUAGGUUGAAGCUUAAUAUUUCAUUAAAAAACUCAAUAUAGAGUCAACAACUUAAACAUUUAGUUUAAAUG